CGCGGAGGCGGCGCGGCGCCCGCGUUAAUUACUGCGCGUUUGCAGCGUGGAGAGGCGGCCGCGCCCGGGGCCCGCCGCCGCCCGGCCGGCGGCGCACAAAGGCUGCGUGCGCUCUGAAUGGAGGCGAAUCGCAGCCUCGGCCCCCGUGAAAAGAGCCGUGAGCGACGCUGCAUUCUGUGCCUUUCAGCGGCGCGCAGACUGUGAAAUCCGCACAGUCGCGCCCUUCUCUUUAAAGGCGGCCGGGACAGGGGCCGCGGCCGCGCGCCCCACCAUUCGCUGCGCGCGGAGACCGAGAGUUCACGCCGGGGACAAGGGCGGCCCGGCCGGGGGUGGGUGGGGAGUGGGGGGUGGGAUUCCCAACCCACCGGGGCUGCGGGCCCCCUUUCAUGGCGCCUUUUGUUGGGCUCGCCCUGGCGCGGGAGUGGCGCGAUCAGGUGCUUGGCCACGAGCCGGGCAAGCGGGGUCCCUGCCCAGGACGGACGGCGCGCUGCCGUGGGUGGAGCUGUCCCACAGGGGCCGGGCCACACCCACUCUGUGAGUCUCUCGCAGUGAUUAUGACGGAAGGAAGACAUACCAGAACCAAGUGCUGGCUCAGAGGUGUGGACCUAGUCUUGAAGCCCUGUGAUGAACAGAAUCUGUUUCCAGUGUCUCUUGGUGCAGCCCAUGGUGACGUGGCCUGUCUUUCAACGCCGCAGUUCUGCCACUAGAAGAGAAACUGGCUGGGAUUUUGCCCAGGGAAAGGACAGCUUGGGUCGGAUCACCCUCCUGGCACCUGUCAGCCAUGACCAGCGUGUGUGUGCCUGUGGAAGAGUCCCAGGGUAUCGAGGCAGUCAAACUCACCAAGGGAGAGAGGAAACUUUGAGAAAACAGUUCCACUAUCCACGGAAACCAGCGACGGCCAGAUGGGCCCCUCCACCAAAUUCUAACCCAUGGUUUUUACUUACCUAUGAAAGCUGAUCGUGUCGGAUCAUAAAUUCCUAGUUCACUGAAGUUAAAAAGUGUCUUUCUCAUAAAAAGGCCCAUAAAGGGUAGUGUUUAAGUGGGGCUAAUAAUAGUGGCACCUCAUAGAACUCCCGUGGGGAUUAAAUGACGGAAUUCAGGUACAAACCGUGUGCCGGGCACACAGCAAGCUGGCUGUCAUUAUGCACGCGAGGAGAGCCCUUCUGAAGGUGUUCACCUAAAGUCUCCAUCAUUUCCUGGCAUGCAUGGUGACUCCCUGAGGGCCGCAGAAGCAGGGUGUCUGGUAGGGGCACAGAUCUGCAUGUGUGUACCUGUUUGUGUGGGGUGGGGAGGUGGGUGUCCCAUGCAGGAUGGGAUUUGCUGCCCCUCCCCUAAAUCUUCCAUCCCUAACUGACAUAAAAGUGAAUUUGUUUCCUGAGAAUCUUGUUUCCUCGGAGAAGAUCUGCUGUUCCUGGGAAGUGGUUCAUUUCAUCAAACCCCAAAAUGAUUUCAGCUGUCUCAUGGAAUAGGCGUGUCCCAUCGUCAGCCCUGUGGCCACCUCUCUGGCACUUCCGGGAAACACAGACAGCCUGCUGCGUGGGGCAGCUCCGUCCCAGCCCAGUUCCUUCCAGACCAUCCCGACCUGUGGACCGCAGGCUCCCCGAUCCCUUGCGGUGACCCCCAGUGCCGCUACAAACCCCGCUUGCCCAAGAAGGGCUGUGCAAAGGAGGCAUAUGGUUUUUAUAACUGACAAGACGUGUGGAUUCAUUGCAACGGCCAGAACUGGCAUGCAAGUGAACGCGGCACAAGAGGAGCUUGGCUGUGGCCGUGCCGGCUGCCGGGGGCCACCAGCAGGUCCCCUCGCUUCUCCCGCAUAGCUGCCUCGUCUCUGAAGUGGAAAUGCUGUGGAUCUGGAGCCAUCAAGGAGACCAGGGCCGUGAAUGGCCUUUGCACGUUGACACGCUGGGAGCACUCAGGGGGAUGCAUGCCCCCUGUGGUCUCCGGGGACUGUGGACCCAGGCGGGGAAUUACCCACUCUGCCAACCCAUGUCAAUCAGCAGUCAAAUUGUUCUUUAAGCACCACUUUUCUUUAAUCAGGCCGUUCUUCACCGGGGCUGUUUUAAUUAAGGGUCCGCUGUCAACACAAAACAUAUGUUCUGAAGUCUUGCUUUGGAUCCUAAUGAUGCCCGGGAUUAUUAAGUCUGGAAGGAAUUUGCAGCUCCGGCUUGCUCGCUCUUCCCCCCAGCCCCAGGCCCGCAAGCCCCCAUUCCUGUCGCAUCUCAGCUUUCACCCACUCACCCUCAUGCCUUGGCAUUGUUGCCCUCUGGGAAACUGACCUAGAAAAGCAAUCUUCCCACAUCAGUAUUCAGGGUAUAAUAGCCCGGAAUGUGGUUCUGUCUGUGCCCUGUUCCUACUGAAAAGCCUUCUUUUGAGAGCCAAGCUAAUAAUUUGUUUUCUUCCAAAUUAUAUUCUUCAAAAACCGUUACACACACAUGUACUGCAUAUACUACAGAUGUACACCCGUACUACGCAUGAAGGGACAUCUAAGACUCGCCCAAGGGACUGGCGCUGUGGCCUAGCGGGUUGAGUCGCUGCCUGUGGUGCCAACAUCCCAUAUGAGUGCAGGUUUGAGUCCCAGCUGCUCCACUUCCAAUCCAAUAAGCUCCCUGCUAAUGCAUCUGGGAAAGCAGUGGAAGAUGGUCCAAGUGCUUGGGCCCCUGUACCUGCCUGGGAGACCCAGAAGAAGCUCCUGGCUCCUGGCUUUGGAUCGGUGCAGUUCUGGCCAUUGUGGCCAAUUGGGGAGUGAACCAGCAGAUGGGAGACCUCUCUCUCUCUAAUUCCACUUUUCCAUGAAUUUUAUGAAAUGCCCAAUUAUAUAAGUUCUAAUAUGUAUAAACAUACUCAUAAUCAUGUAUGUGUACAUUCAUACAUACUACAAUCCUACAAAUAUGUGUGAGCACAGAUACCACAUAGAUGUAUACACAUAUGCACUAUAUGCAUGCACACAUGCACUACAAAGACCAUACAUGUAUACACACACUACACAUACCAUAUAUAUCAGCAAUAUACAAUACAUACUUUGUAUGUGUAAUCACAUAUACUGCAUGUGCCAUAUGCACAUAUAUACAUACACACAUACUGUAUAUAUGCAUACACAUUUAUAUGUGUGUAUGUGUUUGUGUAUUUGAAAUACACACAUAUACUUUAUAGAUUUACUGCAAAUAUACUGUAUAUGUAUGCACUCACACACACACCAUAUGUUUACUUGCACACAUGUGUGUGUAUAUAUAUAUAUAUAAUUUCUCUUUUUUUCUGAGAAUUGGAGACAAGAUUGACUGAACUUUGCUUCUUUUUAGCUGUCCCUGGCAUGGCUGGCAACCUUCUAAAUUGGCCCUCAUCGGCGGCACUUUGCAUGUGGGCUAGAGCCAAUGAUUUUGUUUCUAAGCAGUAGAAUUCGUCAGAAACAAUGAUGUCACUUCCUCUGACAUCAAGCUGUAAAAGGCCUGCCCUCUUUCUUAUUGAUGUUCUCUCUUCCUCUUUUCCUUCCGUGUUCUGAUGAAGCCAGCUGUCGUGGGGAGAGGCCCAUGGCCGCUCACAAACCAGAAAAGCAGCACCCAGAUUCCUGACCGCGGGAAACUCUGACAUAGUCAAUGUGUGUUGUGUUAAAACUGCUAAAUUCAUGGUACUUUGUUGGGCAACAUUAGGUCAUUAACACACCCAAGUAAUUCGAUCUGGUCUCAAACUUAAUAAAUAGGCAAAGGAGGUGGAA